CCCUCCCCCCCCCAAACCCCCCCCUCCCUCUCCCCCCUAGCCCUCCCCUCCCUCCCCCCCGGGCGGUCCCCCCUCCACCCCUUUCCCUAUCCUUCUUCUCUAUUCCUCUAUUCACCCCUACCCUGUUCCUCCAUCCUGUCCCUUUUCCUUCCCUCCCCAGCCGGGCUCCCCCGUGCCCCCUCUCCCUGCUCCCCUUCCCCCCCCCCCCCCCCCCGGUUCCUUCUGCCACCUUUCCAUGACACCUUCCCCCCUCCACACCUUCUGCCUCCUUCCCCAAACCCGCCUGCAAUCCUUCCUUUCCUUUCUCCACCCUGCCUUCCCCCCAGCCCCCUCCCCGACUGCCCUGCACACCCCGACCUCUUCCCACCUGCCUCCUGUCCUUGUCCCCUUCCCCUCGGCUGCCGCUCUGCUCCCCUGUUCUCGUUCCCCAUUCCCCGCUCUCCUUCUUUCCUCGCAGCCGCGGGGCUCGGGGUGCCGGAGAAUAAAGCCCAGAGGGCCGGAGCCCGGCGCCCCCCGCCCUCGCUGGGGUCCCCACACGGGGCAGGAGCCGCUCUGCGGGUCCCCCCAUUCCAGUGUAAUACACGGCCCGACAGUGCCGGGGCUCCGGCUUUCCCGACAUCACACUGGGGGGUCGGGCUGGGGGGCAGGGAGGGUCCUGGGGGGUUGGGGGGGGUGAGGAAGGGCCCCCUCCGGAGGAGGGGGUCCCGGGGGGGGGGGGGGGGGGCCCCCUCCGGAGGAGGGGGGGUCCGGGGGAGGGGGGCGGGGCGGAGAGGGGCCUUCCCCCCUCCAGCCCCGCCCCCUCCCGGGGACCCCCUCCUCCGGACCGGGGCCCGGGGGGGGGGGGGGGGGGCGGGUGGGGAGGGGGGCCGGCACUGGAGGGCUGCUCGCAUUUUUCUUUUUUUUACGUCUGUUCACGCCACAUAGUGACAUGACCCCGCCUCCUCCCCCCCCCCCCCGCCCCCCCCCCCCCCCCGGGCCCCGGUCCGAAAGAGGGUCCCCGGGAGGGGGCCGGGGCAGACCCCGUCCGGCGGAGGGGGUCCCGGGGAGGGGGCGGGGCUGGAGGGGGGAAGGCUCCUCUCCGCCCUGCCCCCCCCCCGGGACCCCCUCCUCCGGAGGGGGCCCUUCCUCACCCCCCCCAACC
rnacentral:lncRNA from 1 species